UAGGGAAUUUUCGUCAAUGGGCGCAAGCCUGAACGAGCGAUGCCGCGUGAGUGAAGAAGGCCUUCGGGUCGGUAAAGCUCUGUUGCGGGGGAAAAAAGGCAGCAUCAGGAAAUGGGUGCUGACUGAUGGUGCCCCGCCAGAAAGUCACGGCUAACUACGUGCC
rnacentral:rRNA from 1 species